ACAGUGACAGUGAAGCGUGAUGAAGGGACAUUCACGUGUUUGUGUGACACGUGUUUCCCUGAAAUCUUGUUACGCGCUUGGCACUUGACCCAUCUGACA